UCUGGGUCAAGAGUACAUAGAGUACAGGUCUGGCCCUGCUGAACCUAGAAAGCCCGUGUGGACUCUUCAUUUAGCAUUAGUCACCAUAAUCUAAGUUUGAUGGCUAUAUCUGUGUAGGGAGUUUGUUCUUCCCAGCUGGUGAGUGGAAUGAGGCCAGUAUGCCUUCUGUCCAGAUAAAUGACAAAUGACGAUCCAGUCUGGUAUGCAUGCCUGCCCUGCCCAUGUUAUUUCUUUCCUCAUCUCAAGGCUACACCUCUUGGACAUACACAUUGGAGGAAACAGAUGUCUGCUGUAAAAUUAACAAGAGCACUUCUACAUCCAGACAGUGAUGAAUAAACUCAAAGGAAAGGAAAAUCAUUUGGCAACCGGAAGGUGUGGGAGGAUAGCUGUAAAUGAAACUGACGGCAAAAAACAGAGCAGAGAAGUUUAAAGAAAAAAAAUAACAGCAUUCCUGGUGAUGCCCCAUUGGGCCAAUGAAACAAACACAUUCUGAAGCCUUUCCUAACCAGGAGCCAACCAAUCUCAUCACUGUGAAGCCAGAAAACCCUAUCUAUUGAAGAUGACUGCUUUCUUCUACUGUAGCUGGCAAUUUUAUGAAAUGAAGAAAAUUUGCUCUAGUUGCAAGUGACACACACCUCUUAAAUGUCUGCUAUCAAUUAAAAGUAAAAUACUGGUUACUUGCAACUAUCAAUUAGAUACAAUGCACUCCAGGAGAUCAGGAGCCUUGGCAUUCAGACAUAGGAGCAUUUUUUUGGCUUUGCCAUUUACUUGCAAUGUGACCUUGAUGAGAGAGAAGUUGAUGCUCAGCGAGGUGAAGUAAUUUGCCCAGGGUUAAGAUUCAAAUGCAAGUCUGGGGACCCUGAAGUCUGCUUCUUUUCACUGUGCUGCGUAGUGGCCUUAGCCUUUCCUUUCUAACAGAGAAGCCAAGACAGCAUACCUGUGUCUGAGUGCCCCAGUGGUGUGCACAUCUAUUACCUCAGGAAGAAAGAAUGUCUGAGGAGACGAAAUUUGCAAACAGUUACAAAGGACUGCACACACAAAUAUGAAUAAAGCCUCUUGAACACCAGA
rnacentral:lncRNA from 1 species